rnacentral:rRNA from 1 species
AUUGAACGCUGGCGGCAGGCCUAACACAUGCAAGUCGAACGAGUGGCGGACGGGUGAGUAAUGUCUGGGAAACUGCCCGAUGGAGGGGGAUAACUACUGGAAACGGUAGCUAAUACCGCAUACCAUCGGAUGUGCCCAGAUGGGAUUAGCUAGUGGUUGGGGUAACGGCGCAACAAGGCGCCGAGCCCUAGCUGGUCUGAGAGGAUGACCAGCCACACUGGAACUGGGAAACGGUCAAGACUCCUACGGGAGGCGGCAGUGGGGAUUAUUGCACAAUGGGCGCAAGCCUGAUGAAGCCAUGCGGCGGAUAUGAAGAAGGCCUUCGGGUGGUAAGGUACUUUCAGCGAGGAGACGUUACUCACAGAAGAAGCACCGGCUAACUCCGUGCCAGCAGCCGCGGUAAUUC